rnacentral:rRNA from 1 species
UCGGGAAUUUUGGGCAAUGGGCGAAAGCCUGACCCAGCAACGCCGCGUGAAGGAUGAAGUAUUUCGGUAUGUAAACUUCGUAAGAAUAGGAAGAAUAAAUGACGGUACUAUUUGUAAGGUCCGGCUAACUACGUGCCAGCAGCCGCGGUAAUACGUAGGGACCAAGCGUUGUUCGGAUUUACUGGGCGUAAAGGGCGCGUAGGCGGUGUGUCAAGUCAGUUGUGAAAUCUCCGAGCUUAACUCGGAACGGUCAACUGAUACUGUCACACUAGAGUACAGAAGGGGCAAUCGGAAUUCUUGGUGUAGCGGUGAAAUGCGUAGAUAUCAAGAGGAACACCUGAGGCGAAGGCGGGUUGCUGGGCUGAUACUGACGCUGAGGCGCGAAAGCUAGGGUAGCAAACGGGAUUAGAUACCCCCGUAAUCCCUGAGCGGGCUGGCAAGGCGCAU